rnacentral:rRNA from 1 species
GCGAGUCUGAAUAGGGCGCAUAAGUAACAGGUCGUAGACCCGAAACCAGGUGAUCUACCCAUGUCCAGGAUGAAGGUAAGGUAAUACUUACUGGAGGUCCGAACCCACGCACGUUGAAAAGUGCGGGGAUGAGGUGUGGGUAGCGGAGAAAUUCCAAUCGAACUUGGAGAUAGCUGGUUCUCUCCGAAAUAGCUUUAGGGCUAGCCUCGAGGUAAAGAGUCAUGGAGGUAGAGCACUGUUUGGACUAGGGGCCCUUCUCGGGUUACCGAAUUCAGAUAAACUCCGAAUGCCAUGUACUUAUACUCGGGAGUCAGACUGCGAGUGAUAAGAUCCGUAGUCGAAAGGGAAACAGCCCAGACCACCAGUUAAGGUCCCCAAAUAUAUGUUAAGUGGAAAAGGAUGUGGGGUUGCUUAGACAACCAGGAUGUUGGCUUAGAAGCAGCCACCAUUGAAAGAGUGCGUAAUAGCUCACUGGUCGAGUGACCCCGCGCCGAAAAUGUACCGGGGCUAAACAUAUUACCGAAACUGUGGAUGAACCUCUUCGGAGGUUCGUGGUAGGAGAGCGUUCUAAGGGCGGUGAAGUCAGACCGGAAGGACUGGUGGAGCGCUUAGAAGUGAGAAUGCCGGUAUGAGUAGCGAAAGAAGGGUGAGAAUCCCUUCCACCGAAUAUCUAAGGUUUCCUGAGGAAGGCUCGUCCGCUCAGGGUUAGUCGGGACCUAAGCCGAGGCCGAUAGGCGUAGGCGAUGGACAACAGGUAGAGAUUCCUGUACCAGUGCUAAUUGUUUAACCGAUGGGGUGACACAGAAGGAUAGGGAAUCGCACGAAUGGAAAUGUGCGUCCAAGCAGUGAGUGUGAGAAGUAGGCAAAUCCGCUUCUUGCGAAGCAUGAGCUGUGAUGGGGAAGGAAAUUAAGUACGGAAGUUCCUGAUUUCA